rnacentral:rRNA from 1 species
UACGGGGGGGGCAAGCGUUGUUCGGAAUUACUGGGCGUAAAGCGCGCGUAGGCGGCUUUGUAAGUUAGAGGUGAAAGCCCGGGGCUCAACCCCGGAAUUGCCUUUAAGACUGCAUCGCUUGAAUCCGGGAGAGGUGAGUGGAAUUCCGAGUGUAGAGGUGAAAUUCGUAGAUAUUCGGAAGAACACCAGUGGCGAAGGCGGCUCACUGGACCGGCAUUGACGCUGAGGUGCGAAAGCGUGGGGAGCAAACGGG